CCAGUAUUGGUUUAGGUGACACGGUGAGGUCACAUGACAUCAUCAACAUCCAUGAGGGAGCAAGAGGACUAGGAUACGGCAUUUCAAAACCAGAGGAAUUGGAAUUCAUUAAAACAGUAGCCCAGCAGACUAGUAUUUUGCUUGACCACACAUACACUGGUAAAUCAGCACUAGCACUGACCAACAAGCUCAGGAAACACAGGUCAAAGUUCAAAGGCAGCCGAAUACUCUUUCUACAUUCAGGUGGAAUAUUUAGCAUGUUUGAUGGGCGGCUAGGAGAUGUUCUGAUGCAGUCAGCUGGAGAAACACUGGUACAGAACUGGAUGAACCCUGAAGAUGAACCAACUAUUGUUUGAUGAUACAUUAAU